GUCUUGGUGGCUCAGCCUCAGAUGGCAGAGCGCUGGAGUCUCGAUCCAAAGACCGUGAGUUCAAGUCUCACCCAAGACA